CCCCUCUCAGGAUCACACCUGGAGAGUUUCCAGUACUCUACAAGUCUUGGAUACGGGAGGGAGAGUCAAGCAGAGGCAUACCCAUUCCAUUACUAGUUUGGGCAGAAAUUAGCAAAUGGAAGGCAAUCUGCUACAAGU